UGGUUCUGGCAUCGAUGAAGAACGCAGCGAAAUGCGAUACGUAAUGUGAAUUGCAGAAUUCAGUGAAUCAUCGAAUCUUUGAACGCAUAUUGCGCCUAUUAGUAUUCUAGUAGGCAUGCCUGUUCGAGCGUCAUUUCAACCCUCAAGUAUGCUAUUGCUUGGCGUUAGAGACCUGCGGCGCCCCGCGCCCCAGGCUCCGAAAACCAGUGGCGAGCUACUCACAGGCUCCGAGCGCAGUAAAACCCCUCGCUCAGGACGCCCUGUGUGUGCUAGCCCACACCUUAUGACUCAGAAAGUUUGACCUCGAAUCAGGUAGGAAUACCCGCUGA
rnacentral:misc_RNA from 1 species